CGCUUGGUGCAACUUUUCCACGGGCUGUGGAACGCCGAGGGCAAGAACGGGCGCACAGUCAUCUCUAUGAAGAGCAACUUCUGAAGUCCAAAAAGCACAGAUUUUUAUCAUACAAUAUCCGCAUUACAGCCAUAUCGGUCCUUUCAGCAGGGUUUUGCCUCCACUCUCCAGAAGGUGGUAUCCAUUUCUCAUAUGAAGAGCCCAUCAUCUCUGCUUGUUGGUUCCUGUUUGCUGCACUGUGAUCUUCUGCCCCUGUGCCUUGCCUGGGACCCCUGAGAUUCCAGCUGCGAUGGUUGAGCUCUGCUGCCUCCCGUCUCGCAGCUACAGGAUUCUGCUCGUCUCUUUGCCAUCCUGGGGUUUCUUGCUGUCCAGAGGAGCACCAAGAUCGGCAUUUCCGCUGUGAGUUUGCAGAGUAACUUUUCUCCAUCCACCUCUGCCGC